UACAGUCGUGCGCCACCAUGACUGGCUCGUGUGCUCAGUGUUUUGCAGUGCAUCGCUUUGGUUUUGGGGGUAAAUCCUGACUCCAAAUGGAGUGGUUAGCAUGCUCGUCUUCUCAGCUCUGACCAGUGUCACUUGUCAAACUCAGCACUCUUGGGCUUCUAUAACCACUGAACCUUUGAAAGGUUCUUCAAACCUUUCAGAACUCCUCCCAUGAGCCAGUUCAAAGGCUUCUAGACGUUGUGGUUCGGUACUCAUAAUACCAACCCCACUCCUGGUACCAACGUCUGUAACCGGUGACAGUUGGGUAAGUUAUUGUAAGGACCUGGUUAAACAUCCACAGGAUUACCUGCUAUAGCUAUUUGGAGUCAUGUUUUUGAAAAUGGCUUCAUGAUGUAAGUAAGUGUCUAUCUGUUAUAAAAAGUGGACAAUAAGCCCAUUAUUGAGUGUGAUCUCAGGUACUUUUUGUAGUGCGUGUGUGUACUUUGUGUGCACUUGUGUACUGUGUGUGUGUCCAGGCCUUGGGUCCAGGCUCAUCUACACCUGCUGUUCACCAUCGUCUGGGAGCGGUGGAGAGAAGACGCGUUGUGCGCAGUGGGGCUCACAGGCUUCUGGGUAGAGGUCUUAUGCAGAGCACUCAAGGGUAGGACUCCAGGGGACUUGCUGGUACCCUGGGUGGCCUGAGGGUCACAGGUGAACCCACUGUGGUGGCCCGACUCCCACAGUGGGUCUCAGCCUUAGGUCUCGGGCGCACUGAGCACAGGCUGUCCCGGCUUGGGCUCUGCAGUGGCAGGAGGUGAGCGGGGAGGUGCUGAACCCUCGCCCAGGGCUGUGCUGCAGGAGGGGCGUCCUGCAGGAAGCCUGGGGGCCGCAUGGAUGGCCAGGGAUGCGGCAGCCUGGGUAGCACAGGCAGGUGGGCACCGGGAGCUAGCGACCUGUGCGGCCCUGCUCGCGGCCGGGCCAUCCUCAGUGCCAAGGAGUCAGGGUGGUGUUGGUGUGGAUGUGAGUGCUACGUGCCUGCCUGGCUGCUGACAGAGUUAAGUGGGAAGUGGACUUAAGGCCUCUAAAUGUUUUCGUGUGUGUUUUUCUAAACCUUGAAUAUGUUUUUAUAAUCUAAAAAUGUGGCCGUUUAAGUUGUGCACGUUUAGAAAUGAGAACCAAGUACAGGUGCUCCCCACCUGCAGUGGGGUCCCGGCCCUCACGGAGCUGCUGCAUCCUAAACACAUGAACCUCCCUGGUCCUUUCUCCCCUGAGGCGCUGAGAGCCUUGGGAUGUCAAGCAGGUGCUCUCGGCUGUGCAGGUGGCUGGGGUGGAGGCCUGCUCUGUGCCUGGUGGCAAGGUGACUGUGCUGUUCUGUCCCCAUGCUCAGCAGGGACCACGAGCCCUGCGGAAAGUCAGGUCCGCCCGGUUCACCGCCGCUUGUCCGGGCUCCUGUCCCGUGGAGCAACACAGGCCUUCGCCUCUGGGGAUGGGCAGGGCCCAGAGGAGGGGAGGGCAGAGGGGCGCCUCCUGGACUCCACACUUCCUGCACUUGCUUUUCCACAGCCACCCGUGGGACACGGUGAUCAAGGCUGCUAUGAGGAAAUACCCAAAUCCCAUGAACCCCAGCGUGGUGGGUGUAGACGUCCUGGAGCGCGCCGUGGACUGCCGGGGGCGGCUGCACAGCCUGCGUCUGCUGAGCACCGAGUGGGGGCUGCCUGGCCUGGUCACCACGAUUUUGGGAACCAGUAGGACCCUAACGUAUAUCAAAGAGCGCUCUGUGGUGGACCCCUUGGAGAAGAAAAUGGAGCUUUGCUCUACCAAUAUCACACUGCGGAACCUGGUGUCAGUGAACGAGAGGCUGGUGUACGCCCCGCACCCAGAACACCCCGAGAAGACGGUGCUCACACAGGAGGCCGUCAUCUCUGUGGAGGGCACAGGCCUCGGCCGCUACCUGGAGAGCCUCAUGGCCAGCACCAUCUCAUCCAACGCCAGGAAGGGCUGGGCUGCCAUCGAGUGGGUCAUCCAGCACUCCGACAGCACCGUGAGCUAAGGACGCGCCUGUGACUGGGUCCCUACGGCCCCUGGACACCGUGUGCCUGGUAGAGACCCAGUGGGGCGACGCGGCUCUCCUUCAGCAGAGGUGACCCGACCUGAACGCAGCGCUCCGUACCCACCAAGGUGUCAAGUUUGCUUUCUGAGCCAUUUCCACUUUAACAGGUUCCAAGUGACGGCAAGAAGUGGCACUGAAUGCUUAUCAAACACUCCGGGUUUUUAAAAAAAGAUUUCACAUUACAUUGAUGACAGAGUCUAAGUUAAAGCCUGUGCUCUGAAUAAUUAUUCAAAGAGGGACCCUUUAAAACACUACCUGAGAAGUCCAUGGUCUUUAAACACUACGCUUCCGUCACUGUCACUGUUCACGAGGUCCCGGGACAGAGCACCCUGAGGGGCUCCUGUGGGGGCUGCAGGGCCCUGUUCCCAGCUGAUGGAGGCCCGGGAGCAGCCAUCGGCUGCCUGAAUCAGGGCGGCCACAGUGCAGAGCACGAGUGCCAGUUGUGAGCUGCAGGGGACAUCAAAGGCCAUGUUGCAGCCACAGUGACACGUGUGGGGCUCCGUCCUUUUGGGCCAAGCAGGGUGUUGUCUCCCAGCAGGAGCUGUGUUCCCCAGAGCCGUCCAGCAGGGCCCAGAAGCAGGCAGCCACCUUGAGGUGGGCCUGGCCAGCGACCGCUUUCCCUGCUGGACGGGGCUGGGGUGAAGUGGAGCCCUGCCGCUCUCCAAGUGUCAGCCUGCGGGUUUCAGGGGCCCGCUCCAAGUACAUGGGCCCUCGGUUCUGAUCCAGCUGAGGCUCAGGUGGUGACACCACACGGGCUGUGCCGUGGCCGGCGGCGGUAUCACCUUCGCCACAGCUGACUUCUGUUUUCCCAGAGCUGCGAUCUGCCACGGGCCACUUCAGGGUACAGAUUUUAACCGCACGUGUAACAAGAAACAAAGUACCUGACCCAUCGUAGUGUGGGAAUGUGCUGUGGGAUUUUUCCUUCUUAAUGCCUGCACUUCACCAGCUGUUUCUUCAGGAGAAAUGAGCCCAGAAAUAGAAUUCUGACACCGUAGUGUCACAGGCCCUAGGCUGUUUGGUGCAUGGGCGCCCCCUAGUGUCCCAGGGCCUCGGAGACUGUCUCCAGGCUACUCCUAAACCCUGACCCAGUCUCAGUGCCAUGUACAUAGCUGUACUGUGCUGUUUAGGGAAUUAAUAAAGGUCUGUGUGUGCUCAGCAGAGACGGAAUUAUUUUGGUCCACGUAUUCUUGAUCUGGAGUUGGCUGAGUCAGGCUGUGGAACCUGUGCCUGGGGUGGGGAUUGUGUGUGUGUGUUUGUGUCUGUGCACGCACUUGGGAAUCCCUGGACUCUACAGUCCCGGCGUUGCCUUUUGCUUCUGGCCUGGGUCUCGUGGGAGCACACGCCAGGCAGUGUGGGCCUCGUGCCGAGCAGGCGAUGGCAGGUGUCGCUGGAGAUCUACCUGUCCUGUGAGGCUGCCAGCCCUCGGCCGUCCUGGGCCUUGCAGUGUCCAGCUCCCUGCCUGUCAGGAAAGCCAUGGCCCUGAGCAGGCUUUAGGGACGGAAACUUCGUGCUCAUCUUGGGGUCAUCAGGCGAGUUUGCCUCCGACUCCGCCUCCCCUUGGAUGGCACAGGCUGGUGGCGGGGGGCUUGCAGCAUCGGUCUUCCCCGGAACACCCUCACCUCAGUCCCCAGGAGCAGAA